AUGGCCGCUUCGGUAGCGGACCACCUCAUGAUAUAUGGGCAGAGCUUCGCCGAGACCUUCCUCGUCCCUCCCGGCGUCGACGAGGAGGAAGCUGCUACGGCUACGGAGGAGACGUCAUUCAGGGUGAUCUGGGUGGUGCUGCUCCAAGCUAAGCAGAUGGCCCUUGUCUUCUCUUCCCGCACAGGGCAAUGGCGAGCCCUGACUCGGAGCGAGUCGUUACCUCUACCGGAUUUCACAUGGAUGGCUUGCUUCAGGUCACGCCAUUACGCCCAUGGCUGCUUCUACUGGAUUUCAGGUGAAAAAUUGCUGGUGCUUGACAUUCAGAGGAUGGAGUUCUCCAUGGCUGACCACCCACCCUGUGCCAGAGCUCCGAGCGAUGAUGUGGCCAUUGCGGAGGCAGGCCAAGGCACGAUUCGGAUGUUUGUGCCUACACCCAACACAGCUCGCCGUAGUUUUACGGUUUGGCGAAACAAUGGUGGGAUUUCCACCCAGUGGCAGUGGCAGAUGGAGAAUGAAACAAUCUUGCUGCCUUCUGGGUCCUUGCUCACGGGUGCAGUGGGGAGGCACUUGCUCCUAUAUCAUGUGGGAAGCUCGUCAAUCAGGCGAGGUUGUUACACGCGCGGCGUCGACACAUUCCAGUUUGAGAGGCCACACCCCACGCUGACGUCCGAGGAGAGGGGGGAGCUGUGCAGGUGCCUGAACCACAAGAAGUCGACGCUGGAGGCAUGGAAGGGUCCGUCCUCUCAGUGGCUGCCGAAGCUCCAAACCCCAAUGACGAAGCAGAGGCGGGUUGUGGUGGGCGAGGAGGAGGCGCUGGGGCUGGUGCAGGGGCUGAACCUCCGGAGGGUGCAGGGGCGGGUGGCGUAG
rnacentral:rRNA from 1 species